GAUUAACGCUAGCGGCAGGCCUAAUACAUGCAAGUCGAGGGGUAACAGGGUAGCAAUACCGCUGACGACCGGCGCACGGGUGAGUAACACGUAUGCAACCUACCUAUAACUGGGGAAUAGCCUUCCGAAAGGAAGAUUAACACCGCAUAACAUCACGAAACGGCAUCGUUUUGUGAUCAAACCUCCGGGGGUUAUAGAUGGGCAUGCGUAACAUUAGCUAGUUGGUGAGGUAACGCUCACCAAGGCGACGAUGUUUAGGGGGUCUGAGAGGAUGAUCCCCCACACUGGUACUGAGACACGGACCAGACUCCUACGGGAGGCAGCAGUAAGGAAUAUUGGACAAUGGGGGCAACCCUGAUCCAGCCAUGCCGCGUGAAGGAUGAAGGCGCUCUGCGUCGUAAACUUNUUUUACUCGAAGAAAAAUUGUUGGUUUCUACCUGACUUGACUGUACCGAGAGAAUAAGGACCGGCUAACUUCGUGCCAG
rnacentral:rRNA from 1 species